CGCGUAGGCGGCCUUCGUAGUCAGGCGUGAAAGCCCCGGGCUUAACCUGGGAAUUGCGCUUGAUACUCGGAGGCUGGAGUACGGGAGAGGAGAGUGGAAUUCCCAGUGUAGAGGUGAAAUUCGUAGAUAUUGGGAAGAACACCGGUGGCGAAGGCGGCUCUCUGGACCGUAACUGACGCCGAGGCGCGAAAGCGUGGGGAGCAAACAGGAUUAGAUACCCUGGUAGUCCACGCCGUAAACGAUGUGCGCUAGACGUUGGAAGGCCUAGCCUUUCAGUGUCGCAGCUAACGCUUUAAGCGCACCGCCUGGGGAGUACGGCCGCAAGGUUAAA
rnacentral:rRNA from 1 species